AGGAGGAAGGCCGGUCUUAGGUGUGAAGGGUGCUGACGCGUUCUGGCGCCUUGCGGUGUCACACUUGGCUUCCGAGCGAUGCCCUCCGCCGGAACGGGUUUUCCUCAGCUGUGAAGCGUGGCUGCGGCCUGCCCGGGCUGUCGCCCGCCGGGACGGUUCAGACGCCCGAGCCCAGCGGGCCUGGGCCUCCGCUGUCGGGCCAGGCCGGUCGCUCCGGGGCUGGGAGUUACCGCACCGGAGUUGGGGCGGAGAAGGCGAACUGGUUGAAUUCAAACCGGUUAAGCAAGCGCAGCAGUGUGUGUUCUUGGAUCAUAGUAUUUCAUGUAAACAUUUUUAUUUAAGAGGAACAAAAGGGAAAAUACUAACCGUUUUCAAGCAUCCAAGGGCGAAAUGCUUCAUCUCUGGGAUGGAGUAGAGGAGUAGCCUCUAAGGUUGAGUUGCAAUCGUGGGUGCAAGAAGUAUGGGUGAAGCAGAGUACAGUGCCGGAACAGGGCGGAAUGGAAUGGCGUGGGCAGUUCAGAAACCCGCGAGGAGUCCAGGACGGAACAGAAGAGAACAGAUAGAUAAAUGAGCACAGAGGGAGGAAGGCCAUUUGGAGACAGAAGCAGAAGUUGGAGUGAUGCAACUGGAAGCCAAGAAACGCCGCAGAAUGCCAGGAGCCAGCAGAAAUUAAGAAAAGGCAAAGAAGGAUUAUUCCAAAGCACCUUCCGAAGAAGCUUGGCCCUGCCGAAAACCUGAUUUCAGACUUCUAGCCCCCAGAACUGCAAGAGAAUAAAUUUUGUUGUUUUAAGAUGCA